rnacentral:tRNA from 1 species
GCCAAGGUGGCGUAGCCCGGAACGAGCUGGAAACUUCCAGUAGUGGGUAAGAACGCACUAGACUGAAGAUCUAGGUAUCGAGGGUUCAAAGUACCCUUUGCGAAUCGCAACGGUAUGGAAGUCCCUCUCUUGGCA